GUCACGUGACGUGCCAUAGACCUGGGAUCCGUUUUAUAUUCAUUUCAGGUUCAAAGAUCUGAAAAGACGUAAAGGAAGCAGUCACCCCAGUCGUGUUUGUGGAGAGGUAUUCCUUCAGAAAUGGAGAAGACAGAAAGCUGCAGAGGCAGGAUUGUUUGCAGAUAAUGCUGUUCUUCUUUUUUAGAAGUUUUUGGUGAGCCAACCCUCACAAACCUUCCUAAAAACUAAAAGAGCUAUUACUGAGUCUCAGCGAGUCUUGCCAUGAUCAGCUCUUCCCAG